GUUUAAAUAGCUUAUAUAAGAGUUUAAUAUUGAAGAUAUUAAGGAAAUAUUAAUUAUUUUUAAACA
rnacentral:tRNA from 1 species